rnacentral:rRNA from 1 species
UCUAGAUUUGAUGUGGUGUAGGAAUGUUAAUAGUAAUAGUGAAAUGUAUAUAGAAUUGGUAUAAAAUAAAUUGGAUAUUGGUAGCUUGAAAAGGUAGAUAUUCGAUUCACGAAAGCUUGAGGUGUGACAGGGAUUUGAGACCCCUUUAAUUCGAGACUGAAAUUAUGCAGGCAAUGUUUGUGGAUCUCUUUUUAACAAAUAAAGGUUCUUUUCCUAAGGAGUACGCUUUCACUUGUGAAACUUAAAUGUUCUGGUGGUGGUUUAGAACAAUAGUGGAAUAGAUGAUUUAAUUCGAUGAAAUGCGAUAAAGCUUAUCUGUUAUCUGAAAUAAUACCUAGGUAUAGGUAGAAUUCUAUUCGAGGUAGUGCAUGGCUGUUGGAGGGUAAUGUUUUGUAAUAUCUGGUUUCGGACAGGAAUAGCCGAUACACUUUUAGUUG